rnacentral:rRNA from 1 species
GACGAACGCUGGCGGCGUGCUUAACACAUGCAAGUCGAACGAGUGGCGAACGGGUGAGUAACACGUGGGUGAUCUGCCUUGCCCUUCGGGAUAAGCUUGGGAAACUGGGUCUAAUACCGGAUAGUGCAAGAUGCGCUCGCUGCAUAUCAGCUAGUUGGUGGGGUAAAGGCUACCAAGAAGCGAUCAGUAGCGGGUCUGAGAGUACGAUCCGCCACACUGGGACGGAGACACGGCCCAGACUCCUACGGGAGGCAGCAGUGGGGAAUUUUGGACAAUGGGGGCAAACCUGAUCCAGCCAUGCCGCGUGUAUGAAGAAGGCCUUCGGGUUGUAAAGCACUGUUGUUAGGGAGACGGUACCUAAAGAAUAAGCACCGGCUAACUACGUGCCAGCAGCCGCGGUAAUUC